UACGUAGGGUGCGAGCGUUGUCCGGAAUUAUUGGGCGCAAAGAGCUCGUAGGCGGUUUGUCGCGUCGACUGUGAAAACCUGGGGCUUAACUCUGGGCCUGCAGUCGAUACGGGCAGACUUGAGUUCGGUAGGGGAGACUGGAAUUCCUGGUGUAGCGGUGAAAUGCGCAGAUAUCAGGAGGAACACCGGUGGCGAAGGCGGGUCUCUGGGCCGAUACUGACGCUGAGGAGCGAAAGCGUGGGGAGCGAACAGG
rnacentral:rRNA from 1 species